CACGUAACCCAUGUGGCAAACGACGACAGGGAACUUUAUGCUUCUUCCAGCCGUAUGCUACACUGCUGUCUUACUAUUCUAACACAUCAUAGAGAGUAGGGUGCGUGGUAACGACGGGUGCCACGCGCGGCGGUAAUACGCAGCUCAAGUGGUGGCCCCUAUUAUUGGCCCAAACGUCCCGUAGCCGGUUUAAUAAAUGCCUGGGUAAAUUGUAUAGCUUAACUAUACGAAUUCCGGGUAGACUGAUAAACUUGAGACCGGGGGAAGUUAGAGGUACUCCUGGGGUAGAGGUGAAAUUCUGUAAUCUCUAGGGGGACCACCGGUGGCGAAGGCGUCUGACUAAAACGGGUCUGACGUGUGAGGGACGAAGCCCUGGGGCGCAAACAGGGAUAUUAUAUACCCCCGUGAUAUCUCCAGGUGUGUAACAGCGUCGUGCUUCGCUGAGAGUGAUAUCUCGGCGGUCUUCAGACGCCCCAGUAUUAUGUGGUCUGAGAGAAAAGUUGGUUUAAAGCAAAGCUUGCCCUUGGGGAAAGGUUACCGCCCGCAAAGGACCUUGGAAACCUUUAAAAGGAAAUUUGGGCCGGGGGGAGCCACCAACGCCAAACCGGGGUUGGGAGCCCACAGCCAAACGGGUGGAACGUGCGGUUUAAUUGGAUUCAACGCCGGAAAAGCCUCCACCCGGGAAGGCCGAACCGGGUUAACAUUGAAAGGCCCAGGGCUUGAUGAACCUGGCUAGAUUUUCCCCGAGGAGGGUGGUGCAUGGCCGCCGUCAGUUCGUACCGUAAGGCGUUCUGUUAAGUCAGACAACGAACGAGACCCUCAUCUUUAAUUGCUAUUGGCAAGUCCGCUUGUCAAGCCACAUUAAAGAAACCGCUGGCGAUAAGUCAGAGGAAGGCGAGGGCAACGGUAGGUCAGUAUGCCCUGAAUCCUCCGGGCUACACGCGCGCUACAAGGCUAGGACCAUGGGCUCGACACCGAAAGGUGAAGGUAAUCCCGAAACCUAGUUAAAGUUCGGAUCGAGGGUUGAAACUCACCCUCGUGAAGAUGGAUCCGUAUAAUCGCGGGCCAUCAC
rnacentral:rRNA from 1 species